rnacentral:rRNA from 1 species
AGAGAGAGACAUGCGCGCAUAUCAAUAAGCGGAGGAAAAGAAACUAACAAGGAUUCCCUUAGUAACGGCGAGUGAAGCGGGAAGAGCUCAAAUUUGAAAUCUUCAAGGUUUUACCUUGACGAAUUGUAGUUUAAAGAAGUGUUUUCUGCUGAAGUUUUGGUAAAAGUUCUUUGGAAUAGGACAUCAUAGAGGGUGAGAAUCCCGUAUUUGACCAUUAUUUUCAGCUUUGUGAUACACUUCAAAGAGUCGGAUUGUUUGGGAAUGCAGUCCAAAAUGGGUGGUAAAUUUCAUCUAAAGCUAAAUAUUGGCGAGAGACCGAUAGCGAAACAAGUACCGUGAGGGGAAAGAUGAAAAGAACUUUGAAAAGAGAGUUAAACAGUACGUGAAAUUGUCAAAAGGGAAGCGUUUGACACCAGUGUUGUUUUCUCGAAAAUCAAUUAAAAAUGGCUCGAUUUUGUAUUGUUGAGACCUUAAAAGCUCACUGUACAUUUUUCGUGUCUUUUUUAAUGCACUUUUCGUUUAACAAGUCAACAUCAGUUUCUUUUGUUGUAAAAGGGUCAUUGGAAGGUGGCUUUCUUUUCGGAGAAAGUGUUUAUAGCCUUUGGCCUCUGCAAUCGGAGAGACUGAGGUCUGCAGCGUAGACUCUUCGGGGUUAGAUACAUUUGUGCUAAGUUAUAGCUUUUUAUAGACAACUUGUUGACUAUAAUUAGUCUUGUAGCUUACUCGCUUAUGCUAUUUUACCUACGCUUAGGAUGUUGAAGAUGUAGCACAUCAU